rnacentral:misc_RNA from 1 species
CGCUAUCUGGGCAUAACAGUUCAGUUUAGUAGCCAAUAUGCAGAUGCAGCUGAACGCCAAGACCGUGCAGGGCGCCUUCAAGGCGCAGCGCCCUCGCUCUGUCCGCGGCAACGUGGCGGUGCGCGCAGUGGCCGCUCCCCCUAAGCUGGUCACCAAGCGCUCCGAGGAGGUAAAUUGACACAUGAGAUCCUAGUACUUGAGCGACUUCUCGGGGUCUGGAUGUGCCGAUGGGCACCUUUUUCGGGUGGUCAGGCACAGUAAUCACCCAAAUCCGGGCCUUCGCAGAUCUUCAAGGAGGCUCAGGAGCUGCUGCCCGGUGGCGUGAACUCGCCCGUGCGCGCUUUCCGCUCGGUUGGUGGCGGCCCCAUCGUCUUCGACAGGGUCAAGGGUGCCUACUGCUGGGACGUCGAUGGCAACAAGUACAUCGACUACGUUGGCUCUUGGGGCCC